rnacentral:rRNA from 1 species
UACAGAGGUCUCAAGCGUUGUUCGGAUUCAUUGGGCGUAAAGGGUGCGUAGGUGGCGCUGUAAGUCAGGUGUGAAAUUUCGGAGCUCAACUUCGAAACUGCAUUUGAUACUGCGGUGCUUGAGGACUGGAGAGGAGACUGGAAUUUACGGUGUAGCAGUGAAAUGCGUAGAGAUCGUAAGGAAGACCAGUGGCGAAGGCGGCAUCCUGGACCGGUAUUGACGCUGAGGCGCGAAAGCUAGGGGAGCAAACGGG